rnacentral:sRNA from 1 species
AUCAACAACCCGGUGGACAGAGCAGCCGAACCCCAUUUUGGAACCCUCCCCAAAGCACUGACAAAGAAGGAGCACCCUCCGGCCAUGAAUCACCUGGACUCCAGCAGCAACCCUUCCUCCACCACCUCCUCCACACCCUCCUCACCGGCGCCCUUCCCGACAUCAUCCAACCCAUCCAGCGCCACCACGCCCCCCAACCCCUCACCUGGCCAGCGGGACAGCAGGUUCAACUUCCCAGCUGCCUACUUCAUUCAUCAUAGACAGCAGUUUAUCUUUCCAGACAUUUCGGCCUUUGCACACGCAGCCCCGCUCCCUGAAGCUGCCGACGGUACCCGGCUCGAUGACCAGCCGAAAGCAGAUGUGUUGGAAGCUCACGAAGCGGAG